rnacentral:rRNA from 1 species
UGGGGAAUAUUGCACAAUGGGCGCAAGCCUGAUGCAGCCAUGCCGCGUGUGUGAAGAAGGCCUUCGGGUUGUAAAGCACUUUCAGCGGGGAGGAAGGCGGUGAGGUUAAUAACCUCAUCGAUUGACGUUCCCCGCAGAAGAAGCACCGGCUAACCCCGUGCCAGCAGCCGCGGUAAUACGGACGGUGCAAGCGUUAAUCGGAAUUACUGGGCGUAAAGCGCACGCAGGCGGUCGGUCAAGUCGGAUGUGAAAUCCCCGGGCUCAACCUGGGAACUGCAUUCGAAACUGGCAGGCUAGAGUCUUGUAGAGGGGGGUAGAAUUCCAGGUGUAGCGGUGAAAUGCGUAGAGAUCUGGAGGAAUACCGGUGGCGAAGGCGGCCCCCUGGACAAAGACUGACGCUCAGGUGCGAAAGCGUGGGGAGCAAACAGG